GGUAUUGUUUGCCCCACAGUAGGCCCCGGAAACUUAUUAUGCGUGUCAAACAAGCAUAUA
rfam:Lactobacillus ghanensis DSM 18630 NODE_64, whole genome shotgun sequence.